rnacentral:rRNA from 1 species
GACGAACGCUGGCGGCGUGCUUAACACAUGCAAGUCGAACGGCAAGGCCCUGCUUUUGUGGGGUGCUCGAGUGGCGAACGGGUGAGUAACACGUGAGUAACCUGCCCUUGACUUUGGGAUAACUUCAGGAAACUGGGGCUAAUACCGGAUAGGAGCCCCUGCUGCAUGGUGGGGGGUGGAAAGUUUCGGCGGUUGGGGAUGGACUCGCGGCUUAUCAGCUUGUUGGUGGGGUAGUGGCUUACCAAGGCUGUGACGGGUAGCCGGCCUGAGAGGGUGACCGGCCACAUUGGGACUGAGAUACGGCCCAGACUCCUACGGGAGGCAGCAGUGGGGAAUAUUGCACAAUGGGCGGAAGCCUGAUGCAGCAACGCCGCGUGCGGGAUGACGGCCUUCGGGUUGUAAACCGCUUUCGCCUGUGACGAAGCGUGAGUGACGGUAAUGGGUAAAGAAGCACCGGCUAACUACGUG